UGAUUAAACCAGAGAAAUCAUUGGAUGAU
rnacentral:piRNA from 1 species